GCCAUAAUAGCUCAGUUGGGGGAGCUUUAGACUAAAGAUCUAAAAGCCUCCGGUUUGAUCCUGGCUCGUGGCA
rnacentral:tRNA from 1 species